UGAACUGCUGCUCUUAAUUUGCUCCUCUCCCCUCCUUUUUCAGUAUCAGCUGUAAUGCCAACUUCUAGUGAGCUCGAAAACAGGACGUGGCUUUCUAUCAUAUGCCAAAAACACACCUUUAACACACUGUCCUUGGUUCCUUCAUGACUCCUCACCUGUUUCUUGGCAACGAGGUUCAGUUGUCUAAUGUGAUUGCAGUCGCCUGUGGGUUUCUAACGGAGACCAACGUACUAUGUACCUGCACUUGAGAAGAUCAUUAAACCUUCCUUUGUCCUACAUGAAUAUUUUAUCUUGGCUGGCAUAACUGCCGGGCUCCACAACUCUGAUAAAAGUAAAAUAUGAGCUGUCUUAGCAGACAGCAUUGUUCAUGGUGAAAAUAACCCUGAUUGGUAAAUUGCAUCUGACUGGGGGUACUAUGAAUGAACAACCUAUAGCAUUUGAGAGGCCAUAGAUUUGGACUCGUGAGGGCUGUGCCUUUGAACCUGCACCUGAUGCCUCUUGGGAGAAUUCUGGGAUUUAACUCCACGACUCCAGUUCUGCUGCAAAUCCUCCUGCAAGACAUGGUGAUGUUUUCAUACUGCCACUGGACAUAUGCAUGUAUGGAUUUGCCUCCAUUUCCAGGAUUGAAGAAGCAUGGACCACUGGCCAGAUCUUCCUGAACCGUUCCCAAGACUCUGUGUCACCUCCGCCUCCUGCCUGGACACCCUUACAGCCAAUCUUUGUAUGUCUUCUCUGGUGUUUAUGUCACUGUGGGAGACCCAAGAUUCUCAGGUCACACACCUCAUCCUUCCUUCUCCAAUCCUGAUUUGGCCCUGCACCCUGAUCUGUCCCUAUCACCCAUUGCCAUAUCUCUCAUGAUGCUUAAUUCCUUGCAUGCACAGUAUUUAAAUUAUCCUAGCACUUUCUGCUUGGCAGAAAUCACAGCCCUAAUUCCACUCCACUCUGCUGAACCAACACCUGGUGCAGUUGGAUGUACUGCGCCUGUAGAAAAAACCCAGAACGAGGAUGGGGGGGCAUCUCCAUUUAACUUUAUGACCAUUGCUCUGAAGUGUGCCUUUUCAGUCGCCCUGCUUGCAGGAGAGAUUUCAUUUUCACCCGGAGACAUUUAUUUUUUGCCUUCCUUUCUCCCUAAAGUCUCCAGUAGUGCCAUCUGCAGGCCACAGGUCCCUGCUGUGCAGAUGGUCCACACAAGGGCAGCUGGGGGGCAGCUGUAAGCCGAUCCCAUGCCACCUGCAUCAGCCAAAAGGAAGGGGCUCUCUCAUUCAACAGACACAAAGAACACUUACCAACACCACCAAUUCCCAAAUGCGUACCUGCAGCCUGAACCCUGUUCUGAAAUGUGGAUUUGAGGGUCCAGCAGCCCACUCAGCUCACGCAAUAGGACCCGAACCUCACAUGCAUAUAAACAAGUUCCUAAUAUUUCUCCUCAAACUCAUACCUCUGCAAUCUUUCCAUCUCAUGAAUGCAGCGUUAUCCUUCCUAAAAGCCUUGGGGGCACUCCUGACCCUCUGCUCUCUCAACCCACAUCCAACACAUCAGCAAUUUCUGUUCGCUAUACCUUCAAAAUAUAAGUAGAAUCUGAUCAGUCGUGUUUCAUGGCCAAUGUGCUCAUCCAAGCCACCAUUUUCUCAGGCUGGACUGUUACCAUCGUCUUCUAAUUGGUGUGCUUGCUUCCAUCUUUCCAACAUCCUCCCUGGCUAACACCCCAGAGCCAAAGAGACUCCAUUACAACCUAAGUCACAUAACUCUUCUGCUCAGAUGAUGCCGAUGGCUUUCCAGCUCUCUCGAAGUAACAGCUGCAAGCAUAUUUACAGUGCCCUCAGGGUCCCUUCGUGGCUGCCACGCUGACAUGACCUUAGGGACCUGGUGUCUAGUGUCACUCUCCUUGUUCACAAGCCAAGAGCUCCAGCUCCACCUGUCUCCACACCGUGCCCUGAAAUACACAGAUGUGCUGCACCCUGAGGCUUCUGCACUAGGCCCUCCACCUCGGUGUUUCUCUGAUGCUCUGCCUAGCACUGCAUGCCUUCACUCAAGGGUCUCUUUCUCAAAUUGUGACACACCACAUUCUCCUUCUCUGCUUCAUUUCUCUCCAUGGCAUGUAUCACCUGUGGCUAUACUAUAUCCUGUAUAAUAAAAUUAUAUAAUACAUAGAGACUGAUAGGUCUAUGAAAUUGACUUAUUUUGUUUACUCCUUUUCUCCAAUCCUGUCCUGCCUUCAUAAAGCGUGUCUCACCUUAGUUUUAACUUGCAUUCCCCUAAAUGGCUAGUGAGGCUGAAUGCGUUUGAUAUGCUUAACAAUAUUUUAUCAUUUCUUCCUGAGAGUGCCUGACUUGGUUCACAGGUAGAUAUAAACCUAUCUAUCAGAUAUAAAUAGUGAGAGAAAACAUGCACUUUCUCACCGCUGAGCUAACCUGGGGAAAGUUCUGCCUUUCUAGUUGCCACAGGAGGAAAGGUGCACAGGUGCGCGCAGCCAGGAGCAUGUGGGGAAGCUCAUCCUGGCAGGACCCACCCCAGCAGAAGCACUAGCAGGCAACACGGGGCCAGGGGUUUGAUGUCAGGGAAGGCAAGAUGGGAGCUUGCCAGAUUUCCGUAUCAACUGCCACUUAAUAAUCACAUUCCAUGCUUUUAUGAAUUAUCCUUACUGAUCUAAUUUUGUAUCAGUAGUGCUUGAAGGGCUUAAAGGAAAAACUAGCCCUUUCCUUAAGCAAAAGAGAGUGAGCUAGCUAUAUGUCAUCUAUAUAUUUUAAAAUUACAAUAAUAAUACAUAACUAGAGGAAAAGUGUAAAGAAAUACAUUAAACAAAAAGUAGGCGUCUCUUCAUUGCUUAACUGUAAGCAUACCCUCUGGGUAUAAUGAUUAUUAAGUUAUCUACUAAUAACAUGCACUCUAUAAACAGGUAGAAUAAAAACAGAGAUUACACAUUAUUUUACAAUUUGAAUCUUGGUUAAAGAGGUUCUUCCAGAAAGUCAAGAAGAAAAUGUCAACCAUAUUUCUCUUUCUAGCAAAAUUAAUAGUACACUGAAAUUAAGAUUAUUCAACUGUGUAAACGUGUUACAUACCAAUAUUUCCACAUUAUAUAUCCUCAGAUUUUAUUUUUAUUUUUACUAUGAUGAUUUGUAGCACAUAUGUAAAAAGACCAGUGCCUUAUGGAUACCUCUUUUUUCCCCCAGCUAUGCACAUAGCACUCCAUGAAACAUUUAUAUGCAUAUAUCUUUACAUGUUGGUGGGUAUUUCUCUCAAAGAAAUUAUUAGAGUUGAAAUUGAGGGAUUAAUGUCUAAGAAAAAUUUACCGUUUGAGAGCUAUGGUCAAAUUACCCUCCAGAAAUGUCCAGCCAUUUCUCUCCAACUAUUUGUAACAGAGGAUCUCUUUCCCCAAACUCUUCCAAUAUGUUUAUGAAUCUUACAGGUGAAAUGGGAUCUACUUAUUUUUGCUUUUAUUUACCUGAAUAUUAGAGGGAUGUUAAGUAUUAUCUGAUUUAUAUUCAUUUAUAUAUUCUCCUCUGUUAAUGUCCUAUGGCCAUUUUUAACCAUAAAUAAAUGUAUAUUAAUUAGAGCUACUCAGGAAUUGCAUUCUUAUUGUAAAACAUACACAGGAGAGAAAGAAGCAUCUCCAACAUUAACACCAUUCUGUCUUAGGUUCCUUAGAUGCCUGAGUUUAAUGUUCCGUUUGCUAGCUUUUCUUCUUUUAUUGCAUGUACAUAGCUUUUUAUGUAUUCAUAAAUGUAAAUUUUUGU
rnacentral:lncRNA from 1 species